rnacentral:rRNA from 1 species
UGAGGAAUAUUGGUCAAUGGGCGAGAGCCUGAACCAGCCAAGUAGCGUGCAGGAUGACGGCCCUAUGGGUUGUAAACUGCUUUUAUAUGGGAAUAAAGUGAGGGACGUGUCCCUUAUUGCAUGUACCAUAUGAAUAAGGACCGGCUAAUUCCGUGCCAGCAGCCGCGGUAAUACGGAAGGUCCAGGCGUUAUCCGGAUUUAUUGGGUUUAAAGGGAGCGUAGGCUGUUUGUUAAGCGUGUUGUGAAAUGUAAGAGCUCAACUUUUAGAUUGCAGCGCGAACUGGCAGACUUGAGUGCGCACAACGUAGGCGGAAUUCAUGGUGUAGCGGUGAAAUGCUUAGAUAUCAUGAAGAACUCCGAUUGCGAAGGCAGCUUACGGGAGUGUUACUGACGCUUAAGCUCGAAGGUGCGGGUAUCGAACAGG